CUCAAGACUUCUUAAAGUGAGCAGCAGAGCGUAAGCGAGCGUGCAAUAGAAGCCGCCAUUGUGGCUCCUGGACUGCAGCGCUGCUGAAGCAGAACGCUAUGGUGGGUUUGAGCCAGCAUGGCGGCUGGAGGGCUGUAGUUGCAGGCACGCCCCCUGUGAGUCAGAGGGUUUUAGGAGCGCUUCUGUAAUGACAGCUCAAAGCUGUCCACGUCAACACUGCUACCACCAUGGACUCCGCGGCUCUGGAACCCUCGCUAUACACUGUGAAGGCUGUCUUCAUCUUAGACAACGAUGGAAACAGACUGCUUUCAAAGUACUAUGAUCCAGAACUCUAUCCCUCAAUUAAAGAGCAGAAGAAUUUUGAAAAGAAUGUCUUCAACAAAACACAUAAAGCUGACAAUGAAAUUGCCUUCUUAGAGGGAAUGACGAUAGUCUACAAGAGCAGCAUAGACUUGUUCUUCUAUGUAGUUGGCAGUGCUCAGGAGAAUGAGCUCAUGCUGAUGGCAGUGUUGAACUGCUUGUUUGAGUCUCUCAGUCAGAUGUUGAGGAAGAAUGUGGAGAAAAGGACUCUGCUGGAUAAUAUGGAUGGAGUGUUCCUAGUGGUCGAUGAAAUCAUCGAUGGAGGGGUGAUCCUGGAGAGUGACCCCCAGCAGGUCAUUGAAAAGGUCAACUACAGGUGUUUGUCGGAGCAAGCAUAUGGCUUCGUCCUUUUUGAUUACAUCACUGGUAACGUGGAGGGCCAAGGAGAGAGACGGCAGCUACUGUAGCUCUCCUUCCCUCCCUCCAUCUGAUUUAGAGCGGGAUAGAGACGGGAGAGAGGGCGAGGGUGAGAGAGUGGGCAGGCAGAUGACAACCCAUUAUCAGAACAGAGUGUGGCACAGGUGUUACAGUCAGCAAAGGAGCAGAUCAAGUGGUCAAUUCUAAAAUAACAUUUUCCAUGACCUCUGAAGGAAUCUGUAAAUUAUUUCAAGGGAAUUUCAUUUUUUAUUUUUAAUGAGUUGUAAUUUAAUUAAUUAUUGAAGUAGUGUACAUGAGUUGCAUCUCAUGUUUAGUGCUGAUAUAUUUAUAUUUUUUUGUCAAAGAGGUCAUUUGCAUUUUUUAAAUGAUAUAAAGAGGCAUAUUUGCUCACUGGGCUCUGAACCAAAUAUCAGCCAAUACACAAAUACCUGUCUUAUUUCCAAAGCGGCUUUAAAGCAAUUGCAAUUCUUUCUAACCCCUGAAAAUAUUGCUAUAUUUCUGUUCUGUUUAGAGGAGGUACAGUUAUGUUUUCUUUUAGCAUAACUUUAAAUGGUCACAUGUCAACUUUAUUGUCUAAACUUGUCAGUUUUGGUAUUUUUGUUUUGCUUUACAACCUGUUGUCAAAAAGCAAUUGACAAAGUUCUGUUACACUAUACAUAUAUAUAACUAAAUAUUUUGCUAUAUAUGUGUUUUGUUUUUGUUUUUUUUAAUGAGGAAAGGGCAAUAUUAUGAAAUUAAUAUGAGUCAGUUAGAGGCACUAAUAUUAUGAUAUAGUCCACUAUAAUAUUAAUAAGUGUCUGACAAGCAACAACUAAACACUACAUGUCCUGUAGUUUAGAAGUAUGAAAAGUAGCAUUUAAAAGGUUGAGAAAAAAAUUCAAAGACUUAAAAAAAAAUAAAAAGUCUUUUGUUUUGGGUAUUAUACAAAAUAAUAGUAACAUUUCCAUAUAUUUUAUUUUCAAGUAAAAUAAACUGUGUGUAUUCUGUUGUUUAAUUUUUAAAACCAUUGGUUCAGGAAAUAAUUAUGCACAAAAAUGUCACUUAAAACUAAUAAAUAUGUCUUUUUUUA